GGAUUGCUCAGUCAGUAGAGCAUGAGACUCUUAAUCUCAGGGUUGUGGGUUUGAGACCCACAUUGGCCA